rnacentral:rRNA from 1 species
UACGAAGGGGGGCUAGCGUUGCUCGGAUUGACUGGGCGUAAAGGGCGCGUAGGCGGCUUGUACAGUCAGACGUGAAAUUCCUGGGCUCAACCUGGGGGCUGCGUUUGAUACGUGCGAGCUUGAGUUCGGAAGAGGGUCGUGGAAUUCCCAGUGUAGAGGUGAAAUUCGUAGAUAUUGGGGAAGAACACCGGUGGCGAAGGCGGCGACCUGGUCCUUGACUGACGCUGAGGCGCGAAAGCGUGGGGAGCAAACAGG